rnacentral:rRNA from 1 species
GUUGACCUAUGGGACGCAGCAGUGGGGGAUAUUGCACAAUGGGGGGAACCCUGAUGCAGCGACGCCGCGUGGGUGAAGAAGCGCCUCGGCGCGUAAAGCCCUGUCAGCAGGGAGGAAAAUGACGGUACCUGAAGAAGAAGCCCCGGCUAACUACGUGCCAGCAGCCGCGGUAAUACGUAGGAGGCAAGCGUUAUCCGGAUUUACUGGGUGUAAAGGGGGCGCAGACGGCGAUGCAAGCCAGGAGUGAAAGCCCGGGGCCCAACCCCGGGACUGCUCUUGGAACUGCGUGGCUGGAGUGCAGGAGG